rnacentral:rRNA from 1 species
UGCGCAGGCGGGCUUGUAAGUCAGUGGUGAAAUACUGCCGCUUAACGGUAGAACUGCCAUUGAUACUGCAAGUCUUGAAUAUGGUUGAGGUAGGCGGAAUGUGUUGUGUAGCGGUGAAAUGCAUAGAUAUGACACAGAACGCCAAUUGCGAAGGCGGCUUACUAAGCCAUUAUUGACGCUGAGGCACGAAAGCGCGGGGAGCGAACAGGAUUAGAUACCCUGGUAGUC